rnacentral:rRNA from 1 species
UGCGAAGCCAGCCGCAAGAUGAGAACUCCAUUGAGGGUCGUCAGAGACGAUGACGUUGAUAGGAUGCAGGUGUAAAGACAGCGAUGUCAAAGCCGAGCAUUACUAAUUGCCCGAACACUUUCUUUAG